ensembl:lncRNA
GUGCAGCAGCGGGGCGCGCGGGCGAAGCGGGACGGCGGGCCGCCGCCCCCGGGGCCCGGGCCGACCGAGGAGGGGGCGCGCGAGCCCGGCUGGUGCAAGACCCCGAGCGGCCACAUCAAGAGGCCAAUGAACGCGUUCAUGGUGUGGUCGCAGCAUGAGCGGCGGAAGAUCAUGGACCAGUGGCCCGACAUGCACAACGCCGAGAUCUCCAAGCGCCUGGGCCGCCGCUGGCAGCUGCUGCAGGAUUCAGAGAAGAAGAUCCCGUUCGUGAGGGAGGCGGAGCGGCUGCGCCUCAAGCACAUGGCGGAUUACCCGGACUACAAGUACCGGCCGCGCAAAAAGAGCAAGGGGACGCCCGCCAAGGCGCGGCCCCGCCCCCCGGCGGUGGUAGCAGCCGGCUCAAACCAGGCCGCAACUGCCGAGCCGCGGGGCCCGCCGGGCGGCGGGAGGGCCCUUGGGGGGCAGUGCGGCGCCGCCCGAGGACGACGAUGAGGACGACGACGAGGAGCUACUAGAGGUGCGCCUAGUCGAGACCCCAGGGCGGGAGCUGUGGCGGAUGGUCCCGGCGGGGCGGGCCGCCCGGGGACCGGCGGAGCGCGCCCAAGGGCCGUCGGUUGAGGGGCGGCCGCCCCCGCCGCCUCCCCGACCCCAUCGGAGGACGAGGAGCUGGAGGAGGAGGAGGCGGCAGCGGUGGAGGAAGGCGAGGAGACGGUGGCGUCGGGGGAGGAGCCCCUGGGCUUUCUGUCCAGGCUGCCCCCCGUCCCCACUGGCCUGGACUGCACCGCCCUGGACCGCGACCCGGACCUGCCACCUGCCUCGGGCACGUCACACUUCGAGUUCCCGGACUACUGCACCCCCGAGGUCACCGAGAUGAUCGCAGGGGACUGGCGCCCGUCUAGCAUCGCCGACCUGGUUUUCACCUACUGAGCCCUCCGUCAGCGGGGCGCGCAUGCCCCCAAACCAGCUGUUUACAUACAGGAAUCAGGUAUUGGGGCCCCUCGGAGGCCGAGGCUGGCACCCCAUCUCCCGCGCAGCCUCUCCCCUCCUAGACGUGCCCAUCCCCCCUCGGAUCCAGACAUACCCCUCCUCCGCGGACACACCCCAAGGCAACCCAACCCCCAGCCUUUCCCUGACAGCCAAGCUCCCUCCUCAUCUUGUCCCCUCCCUCACAGCCACCAGCAGCCAGACCCCCUCCGCUACACCUCCUGUCCCCAUUACCGACCUGCACCCCUCCCCCUACUUUGCACACGCCCCUCCUCGUGGCCGGAGGACACGCCCCCUCCCCUUGCUCGAGAAACUCCGCCCUCGCCUAACCUGUCUAGUUUGAUAGGGGGCGACACAGCACCACGCGCUCUUCGUAGGCCCCGCCCCCCCCGGGGGUGGGGCGCGCUCCUUCAACCCUAGAGCGCUUGGGCCCAGCCCCCUCCUUGCGCAUGCUUAAUACUACUUGGGAGGAGGGGGCUGGUCCCUGGACCGCCUCCAGUCUCUGUGGUCUGUACGGAGAAGGACGGGUCGAGCAGGGAGUGAUCCUGAGAAACCCUUUGGUCCCGGAGCCCUUGACUUCCUCUCUACCUGACGGGGCGUCACUACCUUAAUGGGAGGAGCACUUAGUAGGGAGAGAAAGAAAUUAGAUCGUUCAGAAGGGGUGGCUGGGAUUUGAGACUCCAAGUUCCAUAGACCCUCUUCCCUGAUGGGGUCGCCCAUGCCCACCACCUUCCCAACUGCGUGACUGCCAUUAAUGCUUAUCUUGGUCCCCAGGAACGUCCCUUCCUUUCCCCAACUGGAAAUUGGGAGGGAAAAUCUUUCUCUGGAAAUCCAUCGAAGAGAAAAGGAUUGACCAAGAAAAUUUAGAAAUGAGAUACCUACAGUGUUUGGGAACAGGAUUCCUGCUGCUCCCACCCCCCUUCCCCUGGGGAAGCGCCCUAUUCAACUCAGGGCACCCUCCCAGCCUGGGCUCCUCCCUAAACCCACUGUCCCCUUCUUGUCACCCAAAUCCAUCCUUAAUAACUAUAGCUGCAGUAUCAGUGGGAGAAACUGAGCCACGUUGGUGCUAGGGGGUUGGAACUGAGACAGGAUAGCAGAUGGGUGGCAGGAAAGAGCCCACUUGUAAACAGCGCCUUGAGAGUGACCACCUACCGGUCAGGGGAGACAUUCUGGCCUGGAGGAGGAUGCAUUUGUGCCUCGGUUUUUCCACUUGAGAAAUGGAUAUGGCGCUGCUGUUGUAAGGAAGAUGUGUCCAGUUCAGGGUGCCUGAAACCCUGUCCGCCUGCUGUUACCCUCUCAGCCCAGCUCCCCACUGAACCCCCGCCCCUCCGGCCUCCCCCACAUCCCCUCUACCCUCACUACCUGUAUCGCCGGCGUGUGUUCACCUCUGGGUGGCUCACACACUCUCAUUCACAUACACAAAUCUCAGGAACAAACGGUCCCAGAGUCCUCCAGGACCCCUGCCCAGGGUCUCUACAGGUCUCUGCCCCCACGCGUUCCCUUCGCUGACAAAGCCACCAGCUGCCUCCUUUAAGCUUGGUGCUCCGGCUCUGGGCCUUUCUUGUGCGCUCUCUCUCUCUCUCUCUCUCUCUCUCUCUCUCUCUCUCUCUUUUUUAAGAAAACGAAAAAAGACAAUGAAAAAACUGAGAAAAUGUCAUGUGAGUGAAGAGAUGUCACUGUCUGUGGUCUUGGAGAACUAGUCUAGUAGCUGAGGGGAAGGGUCCCUCCAUCUGGGGCACUGGCACAUGCAGCAGGACUUCCGCCAGUCUGAUGCCAGGACUGAAUAAAGUGUAUUUGCCCCGACCUUGCCCUGUGGUUCUGCAUGUCUGUGCUUUUCCUCAACCCUCCCCCCAACAGAUUGCCAGAUUCAAGUCCAUAGGACCUAGGCUAUGCAGGAAGAGCUGGCUAUCUGGGGACAAGGUACCUGGCCUGUGUGGACCUCUGUGUCCUGUCUCAGGACUCCCUGUCCUCACCGAGGGUAGCACACUCCUCCCCUGCAGAGGCCAGGCAGGUAAUAUGAAUGAGUGAACACUGGUGUGGUAACCCAGUUCAAGGGUGGCAACUGGGUACCUGUUGCCAGUUGUACCUGUGCCAGUUGUGUAGGGAUUUGGUCUGGGGUAGCCAAAUGGCCAGAUUUUUCAAGAGAAGCUGGAGACAUUGCUGCUUCUGAGUCAUCAUAAUUUCAAAAUGAAAGCUGACUCAAAUAUUUUUAAACCUCUGAGCCAAAUGAAGCAGGUAUUUGGGCAGGUUAGUUUGACCUUGCCCUAAAUGAGAAUUAAAAAGCAGGUUAGGACCACACUGCCCAAAGCCCAGCUCCUGCCCAAGCACCUGUGUGACCUUAAGCAGAUUAAGUCAUCCCAGCUCUUUUUUCUGAAUGUGUCACAUGAGGAUAAGGAGUAAACCUGCUUCCUGGGCUGAUGUGACAUGGUGCUCCUUAGAUUUCCUUCCUCCACUGUCAGUGGAGGAAGCUGAGAGUUGGGGAAGCUGAAGCCUGGGAUAUUGGUUCCAUCUGCUGGGGAAGUACUGUUCAGGCCCUGCCCCACGUCCCCGGGCCAGCCUACAGGUAGGGCACACACCACCCUGCAGUGUAGACUCACUGCAUGACCAGAAAGGAACAGAAGCCACGAUUCCUCUUUAUGAGGUCAACUCCUGUGUCAUCCUCCCCACGAGGCUGGCUGGUGUGUCUUGGAAACUGACCAGGGCUUUCCCUCUGUUUCCGUGAUAUCCCUGCCCCUAACUUGUUCACCAGAUCCAGUGAAUUCCUCUACUCAGAUAAAGCCUCUUCUCCCCACUCCAAGAGCAGAGGCUAAGUGCUUCCUUUCAGCCACUGGUUGGAAGCAAGCUGGGAAACAAUCCUAUAAGAGGUAGUGUUGAGAAGGCGAGGAAGGUGGUGCCAUAUGCUGCACAGAAGGCCCUCCUAGCAAGGGCUUAGGGUCAUGGAUGGUCAGCUCCUGGGUUGGAGAGAACACCUCACUGAGGUCACACCUGGCCCACCAGCCUGCCCUGGUGGCUGAGCCAGGCAUGGGGUGCACACCUGGCCAUUUGUACAGUUGGCAGCCAGGGCUUUGUCAGGCCUGCAGCACAGUUUGACCUCUUCCUGUGCCCAGUCUUCUUUUCAC